GACGAACGCUGGCGGCGUGCUUAACACAUGCAAGUCGAACGAUGAACUUGGAGCUUGCUCUGGGGGAUUAGUGGCGAACGGGUGAGUAACACGUGAGUAACCUGCCCUGGACUCUGGGAUAACUUCGAGAAAUCGGAGCUAAUACCGGAUAGGACCUUGCACCGCAUGGUGUGGGGUGGAAAGUUUUUCGGUUUGGGAUGGACUCGCGGCCUAUCAGCUUGUUGGUGAGGUAAUGGCUCACCAAGGCGUCGACGGGUAGCCGGCCUGAGAGGGGGGCCGGCCACACUGGGACUGAGACACGGCCCAGACUCCUACGGGAGGCAGCAGUGGGGAAUAUUGCACAAUGGGCGCAAGCCUGAUGCAGCAACGCCGCGUGCGGGAUGACGGCCUUCGGGUUGUAAACCGCUUUUAGUAGGGAAGAAGCCCUCCGGGACUAAUACUCCCGGGGUCUGACGGUACCCGCAGAAAAAGUUCCGGCUAACUACGUGCCAG
rnacentral:rRNA from 1 species